rnacentral:rRNA from 1 species
AGUGAACGCUGGCGGCGUGCUUAACACAUGCAAGCCGAACGAGAACGGAAUAUAGCUUGCUAUAUUUGUCAGCUAAGUGGCGCACGGGUGAGUAAUGUAUAGAUAACCUGCCCUUAAGAAAGGAAUAACAGUUGGAAACGACUGCUAAUGCCCUAUAUGCCUUUAAUACAUAAGCAUGCAAGGGAAACGCUUUAGUGCUUAAGGAUGGGUCUGUUUGGUAUCAGCUUGUUGGUGAGGUAAUGGCUCACCAAGGCUAUGACGCCUAACUGGUUUGAGAGGAUGAUCAGUCACACUGGAACUGAGACACGGUCCAGACUCCUACGGGAGGCAGCAGUGGGGAAUAUUGCACAAUGGACGAAAGUCUGAUGCAGCAACGCCGCGUGGAGGAUGACACAUUUCGGUGCGUAAACUCCUUUUAUAUAGGAAGAUAAUGACGGUACUAUAUGAAUAAGCACCGGCUAACUCCGUGCCAGCCGCCGCCGUAAUAC